CAUUCCCUUGUAGCUCUGGCUGUAUUUUUAGGCUUAUUUCCCUGCUGGAAGCUGAACUAAUCAAAAGUGUUUUGUAGCCUCCUCCAGGAUUAUCCUGUACUUAGCUUCAUCCAUCUUACUUUGAUCAGCUUCCCUGCUCAGAGUUGAUGUGUGAAAGGUCAUGUGACCAGACCUCUACUUCCUGCCUGAAACUACUUUAGGACAGCGCAAAGGUGUAGUUCUUGGUCUGAUGGAACCGGGAGAAUUUCCUCUCAGGAAAAAAUUUUGGAUUAAACGAGGUUCAAUCACCCCAACCUCAGAGAUACCUCCAAUUUCGCCUCCUCCCAUACAGGUGUACACCUCCUCUUCCCUCACGCACGUCUGGCAUUCCACAUGGCAGCACCAGCGCACCUGGCAGUGGCAGGACAGGCUGGUG